AACUUUCAACAACGGAUCUCUUGGUUCUCGCAUCGAUGAAGAACGCAGCGAAAUGCGAUAAGUAAUGUGAAUUGCAGAAUUCAGUGAAUCAUCGAAUCUUUGAACGCACAUUGCGCCCCUUGGUAUUCCGAGGGGCAUGCCUGUUCGAGCGUCAUUACACCACUCAAGCAUCGCUUGGUAUUGGGAACGGUCCGUCGCAAGGCGGG
rnacentral:rRNA from 1 species